CUGAUAUUAAGGUCUGUUCAACCGGUUCAUUACCCAGCGCACUCCAGCCAGCAGCCUCUCAACAACCUCUGGCUUGCCAAGUGAACCAGCCCCCAACUCACAUCCUCUUGCUCACUUUCUCGGUUCCUAGACCCCUCCCCCAACACACACCUCCCACCCCGCUCAUUUCUUACUCCCUGACACACCAGGAUCUUACUCAGUUUGCUUAAGGACUUUACCAGAACUCCGUCAGCCAUUUUUUCCAAAAUCUCCCCCAAAUUAAGACCAGCAGCCGGCCUGCUCUGCAAACAAAAGAUUCACCGUCAACACCUUGAAAUCUGGAAAGGAUCUGGCACGAGUCACUGGGAGGUUUUCACUGGAAAUGCAGAUCAAGCCCAGAAGCUAGAUUUUAAAACUAGCUGUGGAUUCAGAAGAGGAUUCAUAAACCCCCUGCACAGCCUGCUGAUGACUGGUGGGGAGGCAGGUUCUUUCAUCGGUCUGCUUUAUAUUUUAAUAGCGCAGAAAAUAACAGGUUAGAGUGGUGCUUUGUAACUACCCUCCCUUGCUCCUGGCAAAUUAAUGAAAGCCCAAUCAACUCCCUACUUUAGUAUCUGGGUAUCUGUUAAGCAGCACUGGGCUGGGAGAGGUGAGCAUGCUGGGGUACUGGGGAGGUGGGCAGAGGGGUAAGGGUGGGGCAGCUUUGUGUUCAAAGGCAGGGCAACAGGAAAUGGCCUGGCAGGUUUGGGAAGCAACACGCUGAGUCCUGCUGGAGUGUAAAGAUGAGAGGGGACAGUGGCAAGGGAAAAACUCAGGUUAUUUAACUUUUCUUUCCCUCUGAAAAUUCACUCAAAUAGGAUGCCUCUUCUGAAUACUGGUAUUACUAGAAUAUUAACUUAGGUUGCGUUACACUUUUUUCAGUAUGCCGAUCUUUCCAUUUCAAAGCACUGGGUGGCUACGCUUCUAAAAUACUAUCGCAUCAUUGGCUACGAGCAGAGAAUUCAGGACAGAGGUGACACUGGACCACAGGGUGAGUGUCCCGGAGGAGGUCUGGGCGGGAACGUGCUCUGCAAGCAGCUAGUCAGCUAACAAGCUUCCUGUGAGUAAGGCUCUCCCCCUCUGCCCGGUCUCAGGAAUGCCCUCUCAUUCCUUUCAGAGGAGCUAAUGGCUUUAAAAUUCUAGCCCCAGAUCCAGAGUCUGAUGAGCUUCAUCCAGGGUCUUAACAGCCUGGACAGACCUGUCUUCCCGGAUUUCUGAGAAAGAGGUGAAUACUGACCUACACUCAAUGUUCUAGACUAAAAUCGCAGGUUUAGGAUAAAGAAAAAAAAACUUCUAUAUAAUCUAAUAAAAUCAACAUUUUACAGACAGAAAAUUGAAGCCUGGAUGGGGAAAAAAGACACAGUACAAAAAUGAAACGGCAGUUUAUUUCUAGUGGUAACCAUGAGGCAGUCUUUUAACGCAGGCUGUGCCUUUCUCCAUCAGCUACUUGUACGCUGCCCCAAGAGGCAGAUGCUGUGUAUCAGUCGGCAGUGAGCACACGGCUGCAAACCCAUCUCUAAGUUGGGAUGCCAUCAAGCACCAAAAACCAAGGGAAUUUAAGGUGCUCAUCAUUGAGGCUGGAAGAGAGGUGGCUAAGCUCCUUGACCUAAGGUUUAUUUGUUCUCAUCACUUGCCGUGAACCAGGGACACUCAAAGACGAAUGUUAGGAGGGCGGGUCUGGGACAGGGCAAAGUGACCUGCAUGCCAAGGACUCUGGUGGCAGAGACUGACAGCAGCCACUCAGGAAAGUGGCCGACUCCGGCAAGCGCCGAUCCUCAAAGCCCACUGCGGCCCAGCCAGUCCCCUCACCAGCUCUGCCAAGGCCCAUCCACCACACACUUCCACCAGCAUCUCGGCGUCUACUGAGUGGCCUUUCUGUCCCUUUGCAGUUCCAGCCAGAAGAACAAAAAGCAACUGUAGUGGAAGACAGAGCUCACAGAGCACGGUGCACCCAUCGUGAUGUGAAUGACCAUCAUAAUCCCGACAGAGCAAACUAUAUUCAUGAAAUUAAAGGACCAAAACCAGGCAGUUUCUCUUGGUAUCUAUUAGGGUGUUCACUAUUUUACUGUAUUAAUAUAAAUUGCUAAAAGUUUCCUAUUGUUUAGUCGCUAAGUUGUGUCCAGCUCCUUUGAGACCCCAUGGACUACAGCCCACCAGGCUCCUCUGUCCAUGGGAUUCUAGAAAUCAAACCUGCAAAUUACAGAAAAAACCCAGAAUGAAACAAAAUGUCUUUGAGUCCCAGAUUUGAAUUCAAACAAUGAUUUAGGAGUAUAAAAGUUAUCAGAUGAAUAGGUAGACGAUAAAGGAAAGAGUGGUAAAAUAUUAAUUGCAGAAUCUAGUUGGGAUAUAUAUGGGCGUUAACUGUAAAAUUCUUUCAGCUUUGCUGUGUGAGAUUUUUUUACAACAAGAUGCUAACUUAUAAGUAUUUUCAUAACCUUCACUUGGGUGCUAAUAUCCACCAAAACUCAUGGACUCCUACAGCUCAAUUUAAGAGUACAAGCUCUUGAAAUAUAAAAUAAAAGCAGCACCAAAAAAUCAACUGGGGAAAUAUAGAUGACUCUGCACACAAUGUUGAGGGAUUGACUUUGUCAAAAAACCCAUCUGGAUCCAUUUGGUGGAUUUUAUAUAAAAAAUGUUUUUUAAAAUUUCUCAU
ensembl:lncRNA